rnacentral:rRNA from 1 species
CGGUGCUGGAAGGUUAUGUGGAGUGCUUAGCUUCGGCGAAGGUUCGAAUUGAAGCCCCAGUAUUCGGCGGCCGUAACUAUAACGGUCCUUUGGUAGCGAAAUUCCUUGUCGGGUAUGUUCCGACCCGCACGAAAGGCGCAACGUUCUGGGCACUGUCUCAACGAGUGUCUCGGUGAUAUUAUAGUACCUGUGUAGAUGCAGGUUUCCCGCGACAGGACGGUAAGACCCCGUGGAGCUUUACUGCUACCUGAUAUGGAA